rnacentral:rRNA from 2 species
UAUACUGCAGUUUAGCGGACAGAUGGGAGCUUGCUCCCUGAUUUUAGCGGCGGACGGGUGAGUAACACGUGGGUAACCUGCCUGUAAGACUGGGAUAACUCCGGGAAACCGGGGCUAAUACCGGAUGGUUGUCUGAACCGCAUGGUUCAGACAUAAAAGGUGGCUUCGGCUACCACUUACAGAUGGACCCGCGGCGCAUUAGCUAGUUGGUGAGGUAACGGCUCACCAAGGCGACGAUGCGUAGCCGACCUGAGAGGGUGAUCGGCCACACUGGGACUGAGACACGGCCCAGACUCCUACGGGAGGCAGCAGUAGGGAAUCUUCCGCAAUGGACGAAAGUCUGACGGAGCAACGCCGCGUGAGUGAUGAAGGUUUUCGGAUCGUAAAGCUCUGUUGUUAGGGAAGAACAAGUGCCGUUCAAAUAGGGCGGCACCUUGACGGUACCUAACCAGAAAGCCACGGCUAACUACGUGCCAGCAGCCGCGGUAAUACGUAGGUGGCAAGCGUUGUCCGGAAUUAUUGGGCGUAAAGGGCUCGCAGGCGGUUUCUUAAGUCUGAUGUGAAAGCCCCCGGCUCAACCGGGGAGGGUCAUUGGAAACUGGGGAACUUGAGUGCAGAAGAGGAGAGUGGAAUUCCACGUGUAGCGGUGAAAUGCGUAGAGAUGUGGAGGAACACCAGUGGCGAAGGCGACUCUCUGGUCUGUAACUGACGCUGAGGAGCGAAAGCGUGGGGAGCAAACAGGAUUAGUUCCUAGG